GCCCGCACAAGCGGUGGAGCAUGUGGUUUAAUUCGAUGCAACGCGAAGAACCUUACCAGGGCUUGACAUCCUGCGAACCUCUGGGAAACCGGAGGGUGCCUUCGGGAGCGCAGAGACAGGUGGUGCAUGGCUGUCGUCAGCUCGUGUCGUGAGAUGUUGGGUUAAGUCCCGCAACGAGCGCAACCCACAUCGUUAGUUGCCAGCAUUCAGUUGGGCACUCUAGCGAGACCGCCGGUGAUAAACCGGAGGAAGGUGUGGAUGACGUCAAGUCAUCAUGCCCCUUACGUCCUGGGCUACACACGUACUACAAUGCUACGGACAAAGGGCAGCAAGCUCGCGAGAGCAAGCAAAUCCCAUAAACCGUGGCUCAGUUCAGAUCGUAGGCUGCAACUCGCCUACGUGAAGGAGGAAUCGCUAGUAAUCGCAGAUCAGCAAUGCUGCGGUGAAUACGUUCCCGGGCCUUGUACACACCGC
rnacentral:rRNA from 1 species